GUGGAUGCAAAUUUUCUCCUCCUCGAUCUCGGACGAUUUUGCACCUACAAAACAACUAACACCUUAGGUUAAGGCCAAAAGCCUCACGCACCCACGAUGAAUGGGGGGGCUUUGGCCGAAGAACCUCCGAUGCCAAAGUUAGAAUUUUAGAGAGAAAUAGUGUUUAGAAUAUUUGGGAUUUUUUGCAAGAGGUUUGGAAUGAAUUUUUGGUGAGAAUAGGUGCCUAUUUAUAGGGGUAGGCCUUGCCCCAUUUUGAAUAAUGGGAACCGGCCAUAAGGUUUUUGUGGGGGUCAAAUUCAUGUUUAAUUAGCCAAUUUAUUCUAAUUAAAUAUGAAAAGAAUAAAUGGAUGGUUAUAAAAAUGAAUGACUAUUUUAAUAAGGAAAAUGGGAAAGAUGAGGAUGUGAAAAGUGGGGGGCCGGUUUUGGCUAUUAAUUGGGUGAUUUAAUUGACUAUUAAGGAUGAUUUUAGGAGAUAUGGUAGACAUAUAUUAUUUAGCUAAUUGAUUAGCUAAAUAAUGAAAUAGAAAAUACUAGGUCUUGGGAAAUACCUUAUAGAAAGGAUUUUGAUGAAAGAGGUUUUUAAUUGUUACCUUUUUUGGGUACUUUUGACUUGAUUGAAAGAUGAUUGCCCACUGCUCGCGCGUAGGAAUCCUGGUAUGCCUCGAGGGUAUUUUUGUCCUCUUUUGUCCAAAAGUCCACGUGUCGCGUAGUGAAUAUAUUUGGCUCCACAAAUGCCCCCACACCUGUUGGGUUGCUUGCAGAAAAGGGCAACAGGUGUAGAGAUUUUCUUGCUUUAGGAAACUUAAGACUGCUUCCUAUUUUGAUGUUGAUUCUCUCUUUAAAUGGAAAUUAGAUCCUUCUAGGAAAAGGAAAUAAAUUUCUCUCAAAGCCUAUUUAAGUCCACCUUAAGUGGGUUAUUAAAUCAACUUUGGAGAGCGAUUUAUUCUACCCUACAAGAGAGAGAUAGCUUAGAGGAUAUUUGUUCCCCCUCCUCUAGCAAUCUUCUACAUCUUACCCAUGCAAAAGACCGUCUUUCGUUGCUUUCUUCGUCUUCUUCGUGCCGCACCGAUGUAAGAAAACUUUAAUUUUUCUUGCCUUAUUCUUGGAUAGUGCUAUUGCGGGGUAGUCGUCAGGGUGGUGCGGCACAUCGGCUGGCAGGGGCCAGGAUGUGGCUCGGCAUGGGCUGAGGAGAUGUCGUGGCAGGGACCACUGCUUGGGUAGCUUGGCUUGGCUUGAGCCAAGGGCAGCUUAUGCAGCUGGGGUCGAGGAUUGUGGCGCUGGGGCGCAGUGCUAGGCGAGUCGCAUGGCUCAUGUCCUUUGGGCUCUUGGACCUGACUCAGGCCAGGCUGGCGAUUGAGAAAAAUAAGGAGAUUGCGGGUCUCAUGGGCUGCUGGAAUGUUGGGCAUGCAGGCCUCCUGCCUGCUGGAAUGCUGGGUUAAGCUCCUCUGCUGAGUACCAUGAAUGUCGUUGGCUGCUUAGUCCUCUUUGCUGAAAGAAAUGUGGGCUGCUCCGGAAAGAGGAGGUAAAGAGGAUCAAGGCAGAUGCAUUGGCUCGUCUGAUCGCUGUCGUGGAGCUUACUAUGAAUGAAGAUGGAAAGAAGAGAUCUUCCCCGCCUGCUCAUGAGAUGCCAGUUAAGAAAAAACUGAAGACUUCUUCUGCUGCUCAUGAGGGUCCGCUUGCUACCGAGAGGUAUAUUAUUGACAUGACUUCUUCUAAUGGGAAGAAAAAUAAGGCUGCUAGAUCUGAGCAUGUGGCGUCUUCCAUGUUGAGAAUGGCUAGUACAAUUGUGGAUAAGAUUGCUCAACGUAAAGGUUUUAUCAUGCCCCUAGUGCCGAAGUCUGUACCAGAACGUUCUUUGGGAGCCAAGUCCGGUUCACUUUUGUAGAGACUUGCUAUUAUGAAGAGUGGUAAGGUGGAUUCUGUUGCUAAAGUGGCACCAAAGCCUGCUCCCUUUGCUGCUGAGAUUGAUUCGCCUCAGAUUCAAGAUCUUAAGCUUGCAAUUUCUGAGCUUCGUUUUGCUGCUUAUGCUAAGAAGGGAGUGGAUAAGCUGCAGCACGUCCGUGUUAGUCUGCUUAAGAAGAAUGCGCAGCUGAAGGGUGAGAAGGAUGGGCUUGAGGUUUUAAGACCUUCUCUAUUUCUCCAGAAGACUUGCUUGCUUUUACUUUUAAGGCUUUCAUUGGUGAAGUAGUUGGAGAAGUUAGUGCCCAGACUGGGGCAGCCGGGGGUGAAGCGCCGGAUGAUGCCGCUGCUAAGAGCGUUACGGCUGUUGAAGGUGUGGCAACCCAGUAGUCGUAGGAUGUCCAAGCUACUGUAGUGUAGUAUUUUAGGUAGCCUUUAGGAUUUUCUUUGUUUUUCCUUGUAGCUCUUGUUUUGCUUGAACUCCUUCGGCCUUUGCUAGUUGUUUAUAAACAUGUUUUCCUUCGUUUUUCUUCAUCUUCACUUUUUUUGUUCAUGCCCUAACCUUUAGACUUGAUAGACCAGUGGCAGGCAUGCUACUUUUUUAUAAGCAGACAAGCUCGCGUAGCCUAUGCAGUCGUAGGUGUUGGUGUAGAACUUUGCAAAGUUGUUAGCCAUAGGGUUGGCAGCCGGAUGCCUUACUUACAGAAGCAGACAAGACCGCGUAACCACUAGGCUGUUAACCUUGACUUUCUUCAAUUUCGUAGGUUGCGUAGCAAGUAUCACAACACUUUAGGACUUGGUGUAGGUUGUUCCGCGCUUGGCAGAGGUGAAGCUUAUCGACUACGUAGCAUGUCGGCAGUGGAUAAAACUUCGUAUAUGCGCGCUAGCUUGUUUAACCUUUCACAAGAAUGUGCGGUUGUAUAAGUGUAGUGCGGCUUUACUGCUCGAAGGGCAAGCCGUAGGCAGUUUUCCAGAAUCCGUAGGCUACCUUAGUGCACUCGGUAGCAGCUUUAGGAUUCCAAGGCAGCCGUCCAUCGGAUGUACUGCGUAAUGUGCCCUCUCCGUCUCUAGGGCCCGGUUCCCCACGGAUUAGGCCAAGAGACCCAAAAUACUUCAGUUAGCUAAGCCUUGAAAAAGACCAUUGCGGCUACUUCUAGGAAUCCCGGCGCAAGCCAUCGUGCAUCUAGUUAUACUAGGGCAGCCAGGCUCAUCCACUUCUGGAUAUUCGGAGUGUAAAGUUUAUCCUCCCGUCUUGGAGAGCUGACCCAUAUGGGUGUCGGAGAAUUGAUUUACCCUCUCGCACUGGAGAGCAUGGUUGGUCCCUCGGGGGGCACAAUUCCUGCAAUGAGUCCCUAAGAAGGCCGCAGUCUUCUUUUGAAGUGCAGGAGUGAUUAGUUGUUGUAAGCAUGCAGCCAAGCCAAGUUGUGAUUACUUCUAAAUUCCUCAUUGAAAAAACGAGUGAAACGAACAAGAACUUUAGCUGUAAGGUAGGAACUGCAUAACAACUGGAUAGUCCUCAGCUUGUGAGGUGAUGCCCGUCGAGCUUAUUGAGUCUUCGGGUUUUGAUGUAGUGGGAGGUCACACAUGGUACUUCUUCAGAUUGUAGGCCAUCCAUUGCUUUUCAAUCUUUUUGUCGCUUCAUGGUGGCGAGGGUGUAAUUACUCUUGCCCCCUACUCUGCUGAUCUUGUACGGACCUUCCCAGAUGGGAUCCAUCUUUUUGGAGCCUUCUCUGCCAGCAGUGAUGAAGGCUUUUAUGCACCGUCGAUAUGCAAAUGUCAGAAGUCUCCAUCGAGUGGAGUAGGCGCAGCUAGAAUGUGCUCGGCUACUUCUGAGGCAUCGUUAGGCUGCUCUGUUGCGUCACCUAGGCUCGGUGUGAAGGCGCAGUAGGGAGCUGUGGAGAUGGGGCCAUGUCAUACGCAGCAGGAGAUGCUCAACUACCGGUAUUGGGCCACUCUAGAGUUGAAUCAUUAAGCAAGGGUCGGCUAGGGCCUUGUGAUGCGCAGCAAGAAAUGGUACUCAAUUGCCAGUACAUGUUGCUCCUAUGUAGAAUCUUUUAGGGUGACGAGGACAAAACUUGCUUUCGAGUGUGUCCUUCCAGUGUUGCGUUCGUAAAAAAACUUUACAUCCGCCAGGGUCUACGCCUUUAUCGUCGCGCGUCUAGUUUGGGCAGAAUAGUACGUCAUGAGGAUGAUUGCAUGCGUUUGAAAGUAAAACUUGUGCUUCUGGGUAGCAACAACUAUCACCAAAGUUAGCUUUUGAAUUUUUAAUAACAUCGAGGAGAGCUUUUGAACUGUAGAAUACAGGUAGUCGGGCCCCCAUCUCUUCUCGCAUGAUGGUAGAGCUUAUUGCUACUUUAGAUACCGUCAAACAUGUGAAUAAGUCAUCCGCUACUUCUAGAGAGGUGAUGUCGGGUACUUCUUCAAGUCCUUGAAUGUGCACUGGCGAGCCUCAUCCCAAAGUGCAUACUUCUCUGCCAAAGAAAAAGAGUCUGCCAGAGUUAGAUCUUCUUUCAUGAUCAAUUUUUCGAAUAGCGGGUGGUCUGCUGGAAGUCCUUUUUGGAAGGCUGCUCUAGCUAUCGAGUCGUUGCAUCCGACUAUUUUUGCCUUCUCUACUUUGAACCUCCUCACAUAGUCGCGAAGCGACUCCUUUGGGUUCUUCUUGACGUUGAACAAAUUAUCAGACUUCUUUUUGAUCGAGCGAUAGGAUGAAUAUUCUUUGGUGAAAACCAAAGAAAGUUUGUAAAAAUUUCUGAUGGAUUGUGGCGGCAGGGUGUAGAACCAAUCUUGCGCCUCGCCUUGUAGAGUGGUGGCGAAUAUCUUGCACAUGAGAUCAUCGUUGUUUCGAUAAAGGAUCAUUGCGCUUUGGUAACGUUUUAAGUGUCUUUCCGGGUCUUCAUCCCCUUUGAAAGAUGUGAAAUGUGGCAUGCUGAACUCUCGUGGAGGCUCUGCCUGCUCGAUCUCGUCCGUGAAGGGUGACCUGCUUAUGUUGGUCAUGUUCCGUCGUAGUGCCUCGUCGGUGACCUCGUUGCGUUGGAAAUCAUGCAAUCGCUUGGUCAAGAGUCUUUCUACUUCUUCCUGAAUUUGCCUUUGUUGGGGUGGCGGAGCUCUCGGCUGCCCCCAGCCAUGACUUGCUGGUCUAGGCUGCUCUUCCAUGUGUUUAGCUCAUCUAUGUUGCAGAUGCAGUGCAUGUGGUGCGUUCCUAGCAGGCGAGUGAGUUCUUCGCAGGUUGCUGGUUGAACUUGAGCUGGAUUGAGUGAUUGCUUCUCUCCGUCCGUCGUGCUGCCUACUCUGAUGUGAGGUGGAUGAUGCUCCUUGUGGGCUUAGCCGCGAAUGAACACUUUGUCCGGAAGGUUGCUCAUGUUGACUAUCAGAGUGUGACCCCAACCGUGAAUGUAUGCUCAUCCGUGGGCCUAGUCGAGAGUACACGCUCCUCCGCGCGCUAAGACGGGAGUAUACGCUAUCUCGGGGGCCCAAUCGGGAAUGUACACUGCCUGAACGUUCGGCUCGUGGCUGGUCGAAUGGCUGCUUGCCGGGACGCUGCUGGAAAGGUUCGUCUGCCCUUGUCCUACUUCGGGAUACCUCGUCUGGGGCACGUUGGAUCCCGAUGCGUUGCAAAAGUUGAUUCACCAAAGUUGUCUGUUGUGCAAGGGCGCUCGUUAACUCUAUGACUUGUCGAGACAAGUGUUGUUCGCCAUUUGGAUUGGAAAAGCUUGGAAUGAAUACGCCUCGUUGGGCAGUGGAAGGGUGGUAGACUCCGGGCGUGAGAUUUGAGUUGGGAAAUGUCAAAUCCGCGAAAAAAUGUGGUGAGAAUCCCCCCGGCUCGAUGGUAGGUCCGGAUGGUUGAGAUAGUCUUGGGUCGACUUGGGUUGCGUGGAAAGCCAAUGGAGCAGAAUGGGCCGUGAGAGUGGGCUGCUCGUCGGGAGCAGGCUGGGUCACGAGAGCAGGCUGCUCGGCAGGAGCAGGUUGGGCCGCGGGAGCGAGCUGCUCGACGGAAGCAGGCUGGACCACGGGAGUGGGCUGCUCGUCGGGAGCAGGUUGGGUCACGAGAGCAGGAUGCUUGGCAGGAGCAAGCUGGGCUACGGGAGUGGGCUGCUCGACGAAAGCAGGCUGGACCACGGGAGUGGGCUGCUCGACGAAAGCAGGCUGGACCACGGGAGUGGGCUGCUCGUCGGGAGCAGGCUGCUUGGCAGGAGCAGGCUGGGCCACGGGAGUGGGCUGCUCGACGGAAGCAGGUUGCUCAAAGCGCGGUGCAUGUGAAUGCGAGGCUUGGGCUUGGGUCCACGUAAACUUGGAUGGCACGGCUUGGGUCGUGGUCUUGGUACCGUGAGCCUUGGAUGGCACGGCUCGAGCCGUGGUGAAAGCUCCAUGGACCUCGCCACAAAUGGCUACCGAAGUAGCCACCGCGGUGGUUUCCAUGGUGGCCGUGAUGAAGGCACCAUGGACCUCGCCGUGGGUGGCUACCGAGGUAGCCACCACGAUGGUUCCCAUGGUGGAAACUCGUGGUGGUGAUGCCGCUCCCCUUAUUGUCGCAUUUUGCCUCACGGAUCUCCGCACUCCCAUUUCUUGAACACUAGAAUUUUCACUUAUGGAAUUUUCUAAAUUUCUAGCCAUUAUAUUUUGCUUAUACGUUUUAUCAAAGAACCUUUGCAAGUAAAAAAUUCUAAUAAUAAGAACAUAUGAAAAAUAUUCAAAUGGACUAGAAAAUAAAGAAAAAACCUUUUUUGUGCGAGAGUCUUCUACGAGUAUGGAUUUCAACUCUCAAUGAAAGCACCAAUUUGUGGAUGCAAAUUUUCUCCUCCUCGAUCUCGGACGAUUUUGCACCUACAAAACAACUAACACCUUAGGUUAAGGCCAAAAGCCUCACGCGCCCCCGAUGAAUGGGGGGGGGGCUUUGGCCGAAGAACCUCCGAUGCCAAAGUUAGAAUUUUAGAGAGAAAUAGUGUUUAGAAUAUUUGGGAUUUUUUGCAAGAGGUUUGGAAUGAAUUUUUGGUGAGAAUAGGUGCCUAUUUAUAGGGGUAGGCCUUGCCCCAUUUUGAAUAAUGGGAACCGGCCAUAAGGUUUUUGUGGGGGUCAAAUUCAUGUUUAAUUAGCCAAUUUAUUCUAAUUAAAUAUGAAAAGAAUAAAUGGAUGGUUAUAAAAAUGAAUGACUA
rnacentral:lncRNA from 1 species